AGUGAACGCUGGCGGUAGGCCUAACACAUGCAAGUCGAACGGCAGCACAGUAAGAGCUUGCUCUUACGGGUGGCGAGUGGCGGACGAGUGAGGAAUACAUCGGAAUCUACUUUUUCGUGGGGGAUAACGUAGGGAAACUUACGCUAAUACCGCAUACGACCUACGGGUGAAAGCAGGGGAUCUUCGGACCUUGCGCGAUUGUAUGAGCCGAUGUCGGAUUAGCUAGUUGGCGGGGUAAAGGCCCACCAAGGCGACGAUCCGUAGCUGGUCUGAGAGGAUGAUCAGCCACACUGGAACUGAGACACGGUCCAGACUCCUACGGGAGGCAGCAGUGGGGAAUAUUGGACAAAGGGCGCAAGCCUGAUCCAGCCAUACCGCGUGGGUGAAGAAGGCCUUCGGGUUGUAAAGCCCUUUUGUUGGGAAAGAAAAGCAGCAGGUUAAUACCCCGCUGUUCUGACGGUACCCAAAGAAUAAGCACCGGCUAACUUCGUG
rnacentral:rRNA from 1 species